rfam:Triticum aestivum genome assembly, contig: Triticum_aestivum_CS42_TGACv1_scaffold_169767_2DL
CAAAUACUCCCUCUGUCCCAAAUUUCUUGUCUUAGAUUUGUCUAGAUACGGAUAUAUCUAAUACUAAAAUGUGACUUGAUACAUCCGUAUCUGGACAAAUCUAAGACAAGAAUUUUGGGACGGAGGGAGUACUUU